GUGGUUCCCAACCCAGUCCUCAUGGACCACCAACAGUCCAGGUUUUCUCAUUAUCUCCAUUUGAAUAAAAAACGGAAAUACAUCAAUCCUGAACUGUUGGUGGGCCAUGAGGGCUGGGUUGGGGACCA
rnacentral:miRNA from 1 species